CUCUCUGACCACGGCUUUGGGAAGAAGUCCCGUUUCCUAAUUUCCUCUCCAGAUGGGCUCUCUAACCAUCACGCCUUAGUUUUUCCCCAGAGUAGACAACCAAAGGAAGAGGCGGCGCCGGCCUUCAUGAUCUUAAAGAGCGUGUUGACGUUGUUGGUCUUGAUGGCAUCACGGCAGGCAGAGAUCACCUGGUUCUUUGGCUUACCCACUGGGGAGAGACGGAGAGAAAGACGGGCCUUGAUGUGCAGGUCUACCGGUAUGUCCUUGGGAGGGACUAUGGGCACUCGGACACAGCCUGAGAGCUUUUGUGCGCUGGGGUGGACCACGUGGCUCUCUCCCUCGAAGAUCCCCUCGGCGAAGAUCAGCACUGAGCGGAUAAUGGUCUCUGAAGGGGGAUGGACCACACGUUGAGUGCUGUGUCUGAGACUCUUUAUCAUCACCACACCCUCUGGUGGGGACCCCCCCAGCCCCUUCAACCAUGUUGCCAAUUGGCCACCCACCACAUUUUACACUGAUAUUGUAGCCUAUUUCUUUUACAUUUGUUGUUGUCCUGUGCGGUUGUUUUCGUAUUUUACAGAGCACUUCCUUGUGAUUCUGCUGUAGUCCAGCGUGUGACUGGAGUGUGUGUCUGGAAGUACCGUUUGGCGUGGAGAUGCUGAGUUCUACAUGGGCCUUCUGGGCCUCGGUGGCGGGCCGGACAGACAAUGCUGUCUGGAGCUGAGUGUUGGCUGGUAUCACACCCACCUCGCUGUCCGUCUCCGUCACACCCUGAAACACAAGUAUAGAAACGGUGAAGGUAUCAAUAUAGUCAACAUGAUACGACCAUUUCUUUUUUUAAUCCCAUUCAAUACAACUCAAUACAGCCCAUCAAUUCAAAGCUAUUCUGAAAGUACCACCACCACCACCACCAUCAGAGAUUGCUGACCUUGGCAUUCUCGUCGUAGUUCCGUAGUUCCAGCAAGAGAUUCUGUCUGCGCUGGCUGAGCUCUCUGACCAGGUCCUGCUCUACACUGGACUCCAUUAGGUUCCCCUUCAGUUCCUUACUGGCUGGAAGGUAGCCUCGCACUGGAAGACAUUCAAAACUGCAUGAGUCAUGUAAAACCCCUCACCCUUACAACUCCCGCCCAGUUGACUACAGAUGUUAAUUUGCUUAUGACUAUAUCUGGUGCAAUUUAUUUAUUGUUUAUUGUCCCAGUUUAAUAAACAUAUGAAUAACCUCAAUAUUAACGUUCAUAUGGCCCCUCUCUUUUUGAGUUAAGUUAAAAUCUUAUGGUCCAGUGUGUAGCAUCAAGGUGGCCACUAGCGGGGAGGUUACCGAUGGCAACCAACUAAUAUCCCGCUCACCCCUCCUUUCCAAGGACUAAGGUAUGUAAUGGCCUCUAUUGCGUAACUGGCCACUAGGUCCUUCUACAUUGAACAUGUUUGUUCCGUUCGUUUUUCCCUCGUCAAUAGAAUGGUCUGCCCACGUAUGGACUGUACACAUAAUGCUUUAAGUACUGGCUGCAGUCUUAGUGUAAGACUGACAAUUUAUUGUACAACAUAGAAACUGUACCAAGACCAAAACAGGUUAUUGUUUACCCUCUCCCUCCGUGGAGGUGCAGAUGAGUUGGACCUGCCCGUCCAUCCGGUAGUCCCCCUCCACCACACCGGCCACCGACGAGGAGAAGUUGUCUUUGAAGAUGACAUCGCCCGUGCGGUCGCUACGGGCAUCGAUCUGAAAGGAGAAAAGAGAGCCUGUAUGAGGAAAGCAUUGGUUUAACCGUCUGGGUUCUAGUAGCUGGUGUAACAGCCAUUGUCUAUACAUGUUGAUACGUGGGACGUCUAAGGACCUUUCCGUUGGACCAGCCGGUGAUCAGUUCUACCACUCCAUCACCAUUCAGGUCGAAGGCGUGGAUGCUCAUCGCAUGAUUCUUGGACUGGAACAGGGAUCGGAAGUGAGUUUAGGUUAUUUUAAGUCAGUAAUGAUAUUAAAGGAUAAUAGUUAUCCUAUUUUUCCAUUUUUCAACAGAUUCUCAACAUAACUCAUAAGUUAGUCAUAAAUUAGUGCAAGAAACAUAAAACAUUUCCAAAUACAAAAGCAUAGGAUGGAUGUUUGCAGUACCUUUAUUCUCCAGUAGCGGGCCGUCCGGUCAUAGACUCCCACUGUACCAUUGGCUAGGGCAUAGCCAAACCGGCUACCGUGCAUAUGGCACAGCGAGGUCACUGUCUGACACACAGGGAAAAGACGUCAAACGGAAUCCAGUAUCAUCAAUGAACUAUGUUCACUCUAUUUUACUAAAUGUAUAAACAUGCUCCUGCUUUUUACCUCA